AAGCAUAUCAAUAAGCGGAGGAAAAGAAACCAACAGGGAUUGCCCCAGUAACGGCGAGUGAAGCGGCAACAGCUCAAAUUUGAAAUCUGGCCCCUCGGGGCCCGAGUUGUAAUUUGUAGAGGAUGCUUCUGGCGAGGCGCCGCCUGAGUUCCCUGGAACGGGACGCCAUAGAGGGUGAGAGCCCCGUCUGGCUGGCCGCCGAGCCUCUGUGAAGCUCCUUCGACGAGUCGAGUAGUUUGGGAAUGCUGCUCAAAACGGGAGGUAUAUGUCUUCUAAAGCUAAAUAUUGGCCAGAGACCGAUAGCGCACAAGUAGAGUGAUCGAAAGAUGAAAAGCACUUUGAAAAGAGGGUUAAACAGUACGUGAAAUUGUUGAAAGGGAAGCGCUUGCGACCAGACUCGGGCGCGGCGGAUCAUCCGGCGUUCUCGCCGGUGCACUCCGCCGUGCUCGGGCCAGCAUCGGUUCGCCUCGGGGGAGAAAGGCGUCGGGAAUGUGGCUCCCUCGGGAGUGUUAUAGCCCGGCGUGGAAUACCCUGGGGCGGACCGAGGACCGCGCGUUUUACGCAAGGAUGCUGGCGUAAUGGUCGCCAGCGACCCGUCUUGAAACACGGACCAAGGAGUCGUCCUCGUAUGCGAGUGUUCGGGUGUCAAACCCCUACGCGUAAUGAAAGUGAACGCAGGUGAGAGCUUCGGCGCAUCAUCGACCGAUCCUGAUGUUCUCGGAUGGAUUUGAGUAAGAGCAUACGGGGCCGGACCCGAAAGAAGGUGAACUAUGCCUGUGUAGGGUGAAGCCAGAGGAAACUCUGGUGGAGGCUCGCAGCGGUUCUGACGUGCAAAUCGAUCGUCAAACAUGGGCAUGGGGGGCGAAAGACUAAUCGAACCUUCUAGUAGCUGGUUUCCGCC
rnacentral:rRNA from 1 species